rnacentral:rRNA from 1 species
GACGAACGCUGGCGGCGUGCUUAACACAUGCAAGUCGAACGGAAAGGCCCUGCUUUUGUGGGGUGCUCGAGUGGCGAACGGGUGAGUAACACGUGAGUAACCUACCCUUGACUUUGGGAUAACUUCAGGAAACUGGGGCUAAUACCGGAUAGGAGCUCCUGCUACAUGGUGGGGGUUGGAAAGUUUCGGCGGUUGGGGAUGGACUCGCGGCUUAUCAGCUUGUUGGUGGGGUAGUGGCUUACCAAGGCUUUGACGGGUAGCCGGCCUGAGAGGGUGACCGGCCACAUUGGGACUGAGAUACGGCCCAGACUCCUACGGGAGGCAGCAGUGGGGAAUAUUGCACAAUGGGCGGAAGCCUGAUGCAGCAACGCCGCGUGCGGGAUGACGGCCUUCGGGUUGUAAACCGCUUUCGCCUGUGACGAAGCGUGAGUGACGGUAAUGGGUAAAGAAGCACCGGCUAACUACGUG